rnacentral:rRNA from 1 species
UCAAAAACAUCUCUUCUCGAUUUGAUGAGAAGUAGGCCCUGCUCAAUGCCUAAGGGUAAAUAGCGAGGUAUCUUAAUGUAGCAUGAUCAGUUGGCCUUUAAUUGGGGUCUUGUAUGAAUGGGUUGACGAUAGAGAAGCUGUCUUAUGGGAAAAAUUAGAAAUUUUCUUUCUGGUGAAAAGACCUGAUUUUACUUAAUAGACGAGAAGACCCCGUCGAGCUUGAUUGACUUUUACUCUAAUGGGUAUUAGGAGCUUUUGUUGGGGCAACAAUGGAGACUAACCUCCGUUUAAUAAACAUAGAUCCAUAUUUUAUGAUAAAGGAAAAAGUUACCGCGGGGAUAACAGCGCAAGAUUGCUUUAGAGAUCUUAUUGAAGGCAGUAGUUGCGACCUCGAUGUUGGAUUAGGGAAACUUCUUGGAGCAGCAGCUAAGAAAGUGGGACUGUUCGUCCUAAAGGCCUC